GUCCUUAUGAAUUUGAUUUAAGGUUUAACCUGCCCACUGAAAUUAUUUGAAGGGCCGCAGUAAUUUGACUGUGCAAAGGUAGCAUAAUCAUUAGUUUUUUAAUUAAAAGCUUGUAUGAAGGGUUGGACGAGGUAAAUUCUGUCUCUAUUUAAUUUAAUAUAGAAUUUAAUUUUUAAGUUAAAAAGCUUAAAUUUUUUUAAAAGACGAGAAGACCCUAUAGAUCUUUAUAUUAAUAAUAUUAAUUUUAAUUAAGAAUAUUUUAUUUUUUAAUAUUGAUAAUAUUUUAUUGGGGUAAUAAAAAGAUUGAAUUAAUUCUUUUUUUAUUUUAACAUUAAUGAAUGAUUAUAUGAUCCAAUUUUAUUGAUUAAAAGAUUAAGUUACCUUAGGGAUAACAGCGUAAUUUUUUUAGAGAGUUCAUAUCGAUAAAAAAGUUUGCGACCUCGAUGUUGGAUUAAAAAUUAUCUUAGGUGUAGAAGUUUAGGAUUUUGGUCUGUUCGACCAUUAAAUUUUUACAUGAUCUGAGUUCAGACCGGCGUAAGCCAGGUCGGUUUCUAUCUUUAAUUAAUUAUAAUAUUUUAGUACGAAAGGACCAAAUAUUUAAUAUAUUUAUAUUUUAUUAUUUUGAAUAU
rnacentral:rRNA from 1 species